AGCGAACGCUGGCGGCAGGCCUAACACAUGCAAGUCGAACGAACUCUUCGGAGUUAGUGGCGGACGGGUGAGUAACACGUGGGAACGUGCCUUUUGGUUCGGAAUAACUCAGGGAAACUUGUGCUAAUACCGAAUGUGCCCUUCGGGUGAAAGAUUUAUCGCCAUUAGAGCGGCCCGCGUCUGAUUAGCUAGUUGGUGAGGUAACGGCUCACCAAGGCGACGAUCAGUAGCUGGUCUGAGAGGAUGACCAGCCACACUGGGACUGAGACACGGCCCAGACUCCUACGGGAGGCAGCAGUGGGGAAUCUUGCGCAAUGGGCGAAAGCCUGACGCAGCCGUGCCGCGUGAAUGAUGAAGGUCUUAGGAUUGUAAAAUUCUUUCACCGGGGACGAUAAUGACGGUACCCGGAGAAGAAGCCCCGGCUAACUUCGUG
rnacentral:rRNA from 1 species